rnacentral:rRNA from 1 species
UGGGGAAUCUUGCGCAAUGGGCGAAAGCCUGACGCAGCAACGCCGCGUGAGCGAAGAAGGCCUUCGGGUUGUAAAGCUCUGUCAGGGGGAAAGAAGGCACCUGGGUUAAUAGCCCAAGGGCUGACGGUACCUCCAAAGGAAGCCACGGCUAACUACGUGCCAGCAGCCGCGGUAAUACGUAGGUGGCAAGCGUUGUCCGGAAUCAUUGGGCGUAAAGAGCGCGUAGGUGGCUUGUCAGGUCUGAUGUGAAAACCUGGGGCUCAACUCCAGGCCUGCAUCAGAAACCGGCUUGCUAGAGUCUGGGAGAGGAGAGUGGAAUUCCUGGUGUAGCGGUGAAAUGCGUAGAUAUCAGGAGGAACACCGGUAGCGAAGGCGGCUCUCUGGAACAGUACUGACGCUGAGGCGCGAAAGCUAGGGGAGCGAACAG